rnacentral:rRNA from 1 species
UACGUAGGGUGCAAGCGUUGUCCGGAAUUUAUUGGGCGUAAAGAGCUCGUAGGCGGUCUGUCACGUCGGCUGUGAAAACCCGGGGCUCAACCCCGGGCCUGCAGUCGAUACGGGCAGACUAGAGUGCGGUAGGGGAGACUGGAAUUCCUGGUGUAGCGGUGAAAUGCGCAGAUAUCAGGAGGAACACCGGUGGCGAAGGCGGGUCUCUGGGCCGUAACUGACGCUGAGGAGCGAAAGCGUGGGGAGCGAACAGG